AUGUGACCUCAAAUCAGRUAGGACUACCCGCUGAACUUAAGCAUAUCAAUAAGCGGAGGAAAAGAAACUAACAAGGAUUCCCCUAGUAACUGCGAGUGAAGCGGGAAAAGCUCAAAUUUAAAAUCUGGCAGUCUUUUGGCUGUCCGAGUUGUAAUCUAGAGAAGUGUUAUCCGCGCUGGACCG
rnacentral:rRNA from 1 species